CCUGCCACAAAUGGAAAGCAAUAAAGUGCAUGCAGAGCACAUUAUUCUAGAUUACCAAAGCAGAUGAGCCAAGCCCCUACCCUCUAGCAUUUUUAUAUGGAAAUAGGGAUACACUUAGACCUAAUCAGACAUUGGGCACUUCUACAUAAUCAGAAGAGGGUGGUUUGGGUCUUGGAAACAUUGCACAGACACAUUUGGAAAUACUGCACACCCUAUAUCGCACAGAGGAGCAGAACCUCCAUUAGGCUCUGCAGUCCCCGCUUCCAAGUGAGCACUGCAGCACGACACUUGGAGCUACAGAGGACUCCAAGAAUCAGGAGAACCUUCCCACAAUGCACCAAGGGAACAGGAAUCCCCGUGACAUCAGCAGCUGUGCUCCAAUUGGCCACAAAGGGGAAAGAGGCAGGGCAAGCCCCAUUCAAGCCACUUCAAGCAAGUGAUCACUGAGGGGGCACUCUUUAAAGAAAUAGGGCUGGUUGCCGGGACCUGAAAACACAGUGGAAAGCAGCCACACAAUCCACAAACCCAGCAUGCCUGGCUUUGUUAGAGUAUGCUGCAGACUCAAGUCCCAUCGAGGAAAAAACUGGCACCAUCUGCAUAACAUGUUUACAUCUUGCUUUUUUCCAAGGAUUUUGAUAAGCACUGAAAAUUCCCAAUCAGCAGCAGCAGCAUUUAAGAGGCAAACUAUUUAAACAAGAAUUAAAAGUGGUCGGCUCAGUUGCUAAGCAAAGAGUCUGGAUUUUCAAAGAAUAGUUAAAUAAUUAGCUUUUAAAUCCUGACAAUAUUUCUACCACAGACAGAAGAAACAGUAUUUUUCUCACCCAUACUUUACAAUGUGGUAUUUUUUUAAAAAUCAACAAUGAAGUGUGCAGAAGCAGUAACUUAAUAUUAAUAGCAUGCUACAGAGUACAUAGCGAGUGCAGAAAGGUACUGUAGAUUUUCCACUUCCGGAUAAGAAAUGAUCAAAAGGCUGGCCUCUUUACAGGUCUGUUAUGUUUCUGUCUAAGAAAACCCAAUUUACACAAGCAAAUAAACUGGCUCAUUAUAAAACUAAGGGGUCGAUGUGACUCAGAUAAACUCCAAGCCAGGCAGACAGCUGGGGAAACAAACUCGUAGUUAAGUUGCAACACAGGCUAACCUAGAAGGAAGCAGUAAAUCCCUGCAGAUCUGCAGUUCCAUGGUUGGAGUGGAAGAAGGGGAAGGAUAAAGGUUCACUGGAUACAAUUUUCAAGGCAAACAGCUCAUGCCAUAUGUUCUGCAAACUUUCAUUGUAAGAAAAAUUAAAUACAAAUUCAAAUGCUAUCAUCUGAAAAUAAGCAAAA